GGCCUACACAUGCAAGUCGAGGGGUAACAGGGAAAAGCUUGCUUUUCCGCUGACGACCGGCGCACGGGUGAGUAACGCGUAUGCAACCUACCUUUUACAGGAGUAUAGCCCAGAGAAAUUUGGAUUAAUCCUCUAUAAUAUCUUAUUCAUGCAUAUGAAAAAGAUUAAAGCUUCGGUGGUAAAAGAUGGGCAUGCGUUUUAUUAGCUAGUAGGUGAGGUAACGGCUCACCUAGGCCACGAUAAAUAGGGGCCCUGAGAGGGGGACCCCCCACACUGGUACUGAGACACGGACCAGACUCCUACGGGAGGCAGCAGUGAGGAAUAUUGGACAAUGGACGAAAGUCUGAUCCAGCCAUGCCGCGUGCAGGAUGACGGCCCUAUGGGUUGUAAACUGCUUUUAUACAGGAAGGAACACUCCCACGUGUGGGGGCUUGACGGUACUGUACGAAUAAGGAUCGGCUAACUCCGUGCCAGCAGCCGCGGUAAUACGGAGGAUCCAAGCGUUAUCCGGAAUUAUUGGGUUUAAAGGGUCCGCAGGCGGUCUAUUAAGUCAGAGGUGAAAUCUUGCAGCUCAACUGUAAAAUUGCCUUUGAUACUGGUAGACUUGAGUCAUUGUGAAGUGGUUAGAAUGUGUGGUGUAGCGGUGAAAUGCAUAGAUAUCACACAGAAUACCAAUUGCGAAGGCAGAUCACUAACAAUGUACUGACGCUCAUGGACGAAAGCGUGGGGAGCGAACAGGAUUAGAUACCCUGGUAGUCCACGCCGUAAACGAUGGAUACUAACUGUUCGACCUUCGGGUUGAGU
rnacentral:rRNA from 1 species